AUACGGAGGGUGCAAGCGUUGUCCGGAUUUAUUGGGUUUAAAGGGUGCGUAGGUGGCGUGUUAAGUCAGUGGUGAAAGCCUGCAGCUCAACUGUAGAGGUGCCAUUGCUACUGACAUGCUUGAGUAUGGACGAGGUAGGCGGAAUUUGUGGUGUAGCGGUGAAAUGCAUAGAUACCACAAAGAACACCGAUAGCGAAGGCAGCUUACUGGACCAUAACUGACACUGAGGCACGAAAGUGUGGGUAGCGAACAGGAUUAGAAACCCUAGUAGUCC
rnacentral:rRNA from 1 species